AGCCUUAGGGGAGAUACCAUGAUGAGGAAGGUGGUGUUCCCAGGGUGAGGCUCACCCAUUGCACUCUGGGUAUGCUGACCCCUGCAGUUUCCCCAAAACUGGGAAACUCGACUGCAUAACUUGUGGUAGUGCGGGACUGCAUUCACACUCUCCCCUG